UGGGUAACACUAACUGGAGGACCGAACCGACUAAUGUUGAAAAAUUAGCGGAUGACCUGUGGCUGGGGGUGAAAGGCCAAUCAAACCGGGAGAUAGCUGGUUCUCCCCGAAAGCUAUUUAGGUAGCGCCUCGUGAAUUCAUCUCCGGGGGUAGAGCACUGUUUCGGCUAGGGGGCCAUCCCGGCUUACCAACCCGAUGCAAACUGCGAAUACCGGAGAAUGUUAUCACGGGAGACACACGGCGGGUGCUAACGUCCGUCGUGAAGAGGGAAACAACCCAGACCGCCAGCUAAGGUCCCAAAGUCAUGGUUAAGUGGGAAACGAUGUGGGAAGGCCCAGACAGCCAGGAUGUUGGCUUAGAAGCAGCCAUCAUUUAAAGAAAGCGUAAUAGCUCACUGGUCGAGUCGGCCUGCGCGGAAGAUGUAACGGGGCUAAACCAUGCACCGAAGCUGCGGCAGCGACACUGUGUGUUGUUGGGUAGGGGAGCGUUCUGUAAGCCUGUGAAGGUGUGUCGUGAGGCAUGCUGGAGGUAUCAGAAGUGCGAAUGCUGACAUAAGUAACGAUAAAGCGGGUGAAAAGCCCGCUCGCCGGAAGACCAAGGGUUCCUGUCCAACGUUAAUCGGGGCAGGGUGAGUCGACCCCUAAGGCGAGGCCGAAAGGCGUAGUCGAUGGGAAACGGGUUAAUAUUCCCGUACUUGGUGUUACUGCGAAGGGGGGACGGAGAAGGCUAUGUUGGCCGGGCGACGGUUGUCCCGGUUUAAGCGUGUAGGUGUGUGUUCCAGGUAAAUCCGGUUCACUUUAACACUGAGGCGUGACGACGAGGCACUACGGUGCUGAAGCAACAAAUGCCCUGCUUCCAGGAAAAGCCUCUAAGCAUCAGGUAACAUCAAAUCGUACCCCAAACCGACACAGGUGGUCAGGUAGAGAAUACCAAGGCGCUUGAGAGAACUCGGGUGAAGGAACUAGGCAAAAUGGUGCCGUAACUUCGGGAGAAGGCACGCUGACACGUAGGUGAAGUGAUUUACUCAUGGAGCUGAAGUCAGUCGAAGAUACCAGCUGGCUGCAACUGUUUAUUAAAAACACAGCACUGUGCAAACACGAAAGUGGACGUAUACGGUGUGACGCCUGCCCGGUGCCGGAAGGUUAAUUGAUGGGGUCAGCGCAAGCGAAGCUCCUGAUCGAAGCCCCGGUAAACGGCGGCCGUAACUAUAACGGUCCUAAGGUAGCGAAAUUCCUUGUCGGGUAAGUUCCGACCUGCACGAAUGGCGUAAUGAUGGCCAGGCUGUCUCCACCCGAGACUCAGUGAAAUUGAACUCGCUGUGAAGAUGCAGUGUACCCGCGGCAAGACGGAAAGACCCCGUGAACCUUUACUAUAGCUUGACACUGAACAUUGAGCCUUGAUGUGUAGGAUAGGUGGGAGGCUUUGAAGUGUGGACGCCAGUCUGCAUGGAGCCGACCUUGAAAUACCACCCUUUAAUGUUUGAUGUUCUAACGUGGACCCGUUACCCGGGUUGCGGACAGUGUCUGGUGGGUAGUUUGACUGGGGCGGUCUCCUCCUAAAGAGUAACGGAGGAGCACGAAGGUUGGCUAAUCCUGGUCGGACAUCAGGAGGUUAGUGCAAUGGCAUAAGCCAGCUUGACUGCGAGCGUGACGGCGCGAGCAGGUGCGAAAGCAGGUCAUAGUGAUCCGGUGGUUCUGAAUGGAAGGGCCAUCGCUCAACGGAUAAAAGGUACUCCGGGGAUAACAGGCUGAUACCGCCCAAGAGUUCAUAUCGACGGCGGUGUUUGGCACCUCGAUGUCGGCUCAUCACAUCCUGGGGCUGAAGUAGGUCCCAAGGGUAUGGCUGUUCGCCAUUUAAAGUGGUACGCGAGCUGGGUUUAGAACGUCGUGAGACAGUUCGGUCCCUAUCUGCCGUGGGCGCUGGAGAACUGAGGGGGGCUGCUCCUAGUACGAGAGGACCGGAGUGGACGCAUCACUGGUGUUCGGGUUGUCAUGCCAAUGGCACUGCCCGGUAGCUAAAUGCGGAAGAGAUAAGUGCUGAAAGCAUCUAAGCACGAAACUUGCCCCGAGAUGAGUUCUCCCUGAGACUUAGAGUCUCCUGAAGGAACGUUGAAGACGACGACGUUGAUAGGCCGGGUGUGUAAGCGCAGCGAUGCGUUGAGCUAACCGGUACUAAUGAACCGUGAGGCUUAACCUU
rnacentral:rRNA from 1 species